GGUAGUUUUUCUUCUUUUAAAUAAAGUCUCCUCCUUUACUGUGUUGAUUCCCUAUGUGUAUUUAAAUGUUUCUAUCAUAUCCCCGAUGUCUCGUCUUUCCUCCAAGCUAUACAUGUUAAGAUCCUUUAACCUUUCCUGGUAAGUUUUAUCCUGCAAUCCAUGAACCAGUUUAGUAGCCCUUCUCUGAACUCUCUCUAAAUUAUCAAUAUCCUUCUGGAGAUACAGUCUCC